CCAAUAGCGUAUAUUAAAGUUGUUGCAGUUAAAAAGUUCGUAGUUGAAUUUCGGGAUUAGCAAGUUGGUCGUGCCUUCGGUAUGCACUGGCUUUGCUGAUUCCUCCUUCUUGAAGAACUGUAAUGCUAUUAAUUUAGUGUUGCAGGGAAACAGGACUGUUACUUUGAAAAAAUUAGAGUGUUUAAAGCAGGCUAACGCUUGAAUACAUUAGCAUGGAAUAAUGAAAUAGGACGUUUGAUCCUAUUUUGUUGGUUUCUAGGAUUGACGUAAUGAUUAAUAGGGAUAGUUGGGGGCAUUAGUAUUCAAUUGUCAGAGGUGAAAUUCUUGGAUUUAUUGAAGACUAACUACUGCGAAAGCAUUUGCCAAGGAUGUUUUCAUUAAUCAAGAACGAAAGUUAGGGGAUCGAAGACGAUCAGAUACCGUCGUAGUCUUAACCAUAAACUAUGCCGACUAGGGAUCGGAUGAUGUUAAUUUUUUAAUGACUCAUUCGGCGCCUUACG
rnacentral:rRNA from 1 species